rnacentral:rRNA from 1 species
AUGGUGGAUUCCCCCGCUGCUCGUGAGAAGGAGGAGGAGGCGACCUUGCUGCCAGAAGAAUGGCUCAACCUCGCCAUUCUCUGCAAGGCAUUCGUUUCCAAGGCCAUGAACGGCCUGGGCACGCUGGCGACCAUCUGGGCGACUGUUGUCCUGCUCGGUGGAUUCGCGGUCCUCACUAAAAAGCAGGACUUUUGGUACGUCACCAUCAUCGCUUUCGUCGAAUCAAUCGGGGUCCUGGGUGGUUACGAGGAUCCCACAUACCAAAUUUUCAUACGCACACCAGGAUUGCUGAUAGACGCUUUGAAGUCGGCAGAUAAGAAGGAGCAACAACCCAGUUUGUGGAGAAGAAGAAUCCAGCAUCAUCAACAACAACAACAAAACCAGUCUAGAGGCACGAGAAGAAACAGGCUGCAGGUUAGAAAACAUAAACAUUUUGAGGAGCUGACCAUGUCCAAAAGAUGCCUCGGGGUGGUCAUCCUUGUGGUCAUGCGGCUGGUCGAGAUCGCCGCUGUUGCCAUAUGCAUUGCCGUGUCCUUUGGGCGUCUCAAGAAGCAGGACUACGUGGACCCCAAGGACAGAGACGCGGCGGACCACCAGAACAUCAGGCUGUCCCUGAACAUCUUCUACGGGCUGGUGCUCGCCCAGAGCAUCAUCUUCAUCAUCAUGCGGCUGAGCCCGGAUUCGCUGUUAGGGUUCCACAUCAGAGUCAAGUAUAGAUUAUUUGGGUCGUCCGGCCGAGAAAUAAUGUACCGCUACCUGAGUGAUAACUACCUAGAGUUCAUCACUGGGAAUGUGCGCACCACCCUCAAGAUGAACCUCAUCACCUUCGCCAUGAAGUUGGUGGUGUCUGACUCCACUGUGGAUGACCAGUUGGUUGGGAUCCGAGCCAUGGACCGCAUCCUCAGAUCAGUGGAGUACAACAGCCUGGCCCUCACGAGGCUUCGAGCAUCUCUCGACGCUGACUCUUUGGGGAGGCUGGUCGGGGUGCUAGGCUUGGUUAGGACACCAGACGAGAAGGAAAUGAGAGGCCAUGCUGCAAGAGUAGUUCUCAAACUAGCUCCAGACAUUCCGGUCGACACUUGUCAUCAAGCCAUGUCUCUCAUCUCUUCUUCCCUGGUGGAGACGGCAAGCAACAUGGAUGUGGAUCUCGUCUGGUUUGGCUUGCGCAUCCUAGACAAGCUCACAGAUAACCAACAGAACUGUCGGCAGGCCAAGGGCGACCUCAGUGAUCUACUGCCCAAGAUCAUAGACCUCACCAACCUCAACCAGCGUGGGCGUGGCAGCAGCAUCUCCGAUUCUUGGAUUGAACAAGAGAUUAUUCCUCUGCUUGAAAGAGAAGAGGACAUCCCUCCCACUGCCAUACAGAUGAUUGACCAACAGAUUAUUGUUGGCAUGUCGCUCAAAAUCUUGAGCAAGCUGGUUGCCAAGCCUGGUGAUGUUGGGAAGGGCCUCAGGGAAAAGGCCGCAAAAUAUAUGAACCUCCUCACCGACAGCGGGACAAUCUUGGAGCACGUGGGAGCAGCAAGAGUCAUAGCAUGCUUAGCACUGAAUGAAGAUCAAAAGCAAGAGCUUGGGGGAUCACCUCAGAUCAUAAGGAAGCUCAAGGAGUGUCUUCUCUCCAAGGAGCCACACGUAGAUAUCACCAAAGUGGCUGCCAAGUUACUGCUUCUUGAGUACACUACCAGGGAUCAGCUGAACCAGAUUAAGUCGUCCAUCGAGGAGAAGAAUGUUCUGCAAGAUCCAAGCUUCUCUGUACCGACCACGGCCUUCAUAGGAGCACUUGGCCUGGAUCAAAUUUUGCCAUCAUGGAUACAGAAGCAGCAGAUCGCCGUGCAAGAUCUUGAUCUGGAUGAUCUACUUUCAGCGUAG